AGCGAACGCUGGCGGCAGGCCUAAUACAUGCAAGUCGAGCGCACCUUCGGGUGAGCGGCGGACGGGUGAGUAACGCGUGGGAACGUGCCCUUUGGUACGGGAUAACUGAGGGAAACUUCAGCUAAUACCGUAUGUGCCCUACGGGGGAAAGAUUUAUCGCCAUUGGAGCGGCCCGCGUUGGAUUAGGUAGUUGGUGAGGUAAAGGCUCACCAAGCCUACGAUACAUAGCUGGUCUGAGAGGAUGAUCAGCCACACUGGGACUGAGACACGGCCCAGACUCCUACGGGAGGCAGCAGUAGGGAAUCUUGCGCAAUGGGCGAAAGCCUGACGCAGCCAUGCCGCGUGUAUGAUGAAGGUCUUAGGAUUGUAAAAUACUUUCACCGGGGAAGAUAAUGACGGUACCCGGAGAAGAAGCCCCGGCUAACUUCGUGCCAGCAGCCGCCGCGGUAA
rnacentral:rRNA from 1 species